UACGAAGGGGGCUAGCGUUGCUCGGAAUUACUGGGCGUAAAGGGCUCGUAGGCGGCCAACUAAGUCAUACGUGAAAUCCCUCAGCUUAACUGGGGAACUGCGUGUGAUACUGGAUGGCUUGGAUUUGGGAGAGGGAUGCGGAAUUCCAGGUGUAGCGGUGAAAUGCGUAGAUAUCUGGAGGAACACCGGUGGCGAAGGCGGCAUCCUGGACCAACACUGACGCUGAGGCGCGAAAGCCAGGGGAGCAA
rnacentral:rRNA from 1 species